UACUCUUAUCGGAGGCAGCAGUGGGGAAUAUUGCACAAUGGGCGCAAGCCUGAUGCAGCGACGCCGCGUGAGGGAUGACGGCCUUCGGGUUGUAAACCUCUUUCAGUAGGGAAGAAGCGAAAGUGACGGUACCUGCAGAAGAAGCGCCGGCUAACUACGUGCCAGCAGCCGCGGUAAUACGUAGGGCGCAAGCGUUAUCCGGAUUUAUUGGGCGUAAAGAGCUCGUAGGCGGUUUGUCGCGUCUGCCGUGAAAGUCCGAGGCUCAACCUCGGAUCUGCGGUGGGUACGGGCAGACUAGAGUGAUGUAGGGGAGACUGGAAUUCCUGGUGUAGCGGUGAAAUGCGCAGAUAUCAGGAGGAACACCGAUGGCGAAGGCAGGUCUCUGGGCAUUUACUGACGCUGAGGAGCGAAAGCAUGGGGAGCGAACAGGAUUAGAUACCCUGGUAGUCCAUGCCGUAAACGUUGGGCACUAGGUGUGGGGGACAUUCCACGUUUUCCGCGCCGUAGCUAACGCAUUAAGUGCCCCGCCUGGGGAGUACGGCCGCAAGGCUAAAACUCAAAGGAAUUGACGGGGGCCCGCACAAGCGGCGGAGCAUGCGGAUUAAUUCGAUGCAACGCGAAGAACCUUACCAAGGCUUGACAUGUGCCAGAUCGCCUCAGAGAUGGGGUUCCC
rnacentral:rRNA from 1 species